CCCUUAGAUGUUCUGGGCCGCACGCGCGCUACACUGAUGAAUUCAACGAGCUCCUAACCUAGGCCGAAGGGUCCGGGUAAUCUUUGAAAUUUCAUCGUGAUGGGGAUAGAUUAUUGCAAUUAUUAAUCUUCAACGAGGAAUUCCUAGUAAGCGCGAGUCAUCAGCUCGCGUUGAUUACGUCCCUGCCCUUUGUACACACCGCCCGUCGCUCCUACCGAUUGAAUGGUCCGGUGAAAUGUUCGGAUCGCGGCAAAUCGGACGGGUAACCGUCAGGUUCGCUGCGAGAAGUUCAUUAAACCUUAUCAUUUAGAGGAAGGAGAAGUCGCAACA
rnacentral:rRNA from 1 species